AGAGACUAACGGCAGCAGACCAGAGAAGCAACAGAGACUCGCUGUUAGAAUAAUUUUCUAGUUUCUAAAUUUCUAGUGAAUUUCGGAUCUUUUCCAGUCAAAACAAUAUUGCAGAUUGUUGAAACGGUAGCGACCUUAACCAGAGAAAUUUUGAGACCUGUGCCUGAAAAUGGAAAUGUGUGAAGGGAAUCAGUGUGGAUGCCUAUUUCACAUCCCAAAGAGCAAUGUCUACAGAGGUCUGCAAUCGGGAUUCCAGUAUGACGUCACACAGCAGGCAGUGUUUUAACCUAGCAACAGUAUCUGCCUGGUCAUCUCAGCAUCAUCACAGGACAAAUCGUGAUAUCUACCAG